rnacentral:tRNA from 1 species
GGCUUCGUGGUGGAAUGGUAUACACGGCAGACUCAAAAUCUGCUGCCUUAAGGCUUGUGGGUUCGAAUCCCACCGAAGCUACCA